CGGUCACAGCCCAGGAAAGUUACUUGAUUGGCUGGGCUUCGGGGGUGAGCGCGGAGAUAAGUUGGCUAGGCCUAAUAACAGGUGUGUUAGGGACUGCCCAUCAACCAAAACCACUUGUGUGCUGACUGAGGGAAAAAGGGUUGUGGAGGACUGGUCGUGCUGAGAUUAACGUCAGUAGUUUACAGACUGUUUUGGUGUUACUUACUAUCCGUUUUCUAGCUAUGCUAGAAACAGUGCUAAAACUAAAGUAGCGCAUUUUUGCUGAGUUUUGACGGGACACGGGUGAGCUAGCUGCAGUGCUAAGCUAGUGAGUUCAUGUGAAUUCGAAUCCGUGGAUCAACAAUCGCAACCAAGGCAACAGGGACCAGUCGUCUCUCCGCCGUUGCUAAGGAGGAGCUGUUUCCCAGCAACCAGCCGUUUCCAGCCUCAAGUGACUGUGAGAAACAUAGCUAGCUAGCUAACUGCAAGUUGCCACUCGGCAUCAUGAGCAAGCGUCUGCAGGGAGCCAUAACUGCCACCAAAGGCCUUUUAAAUCCUUGGAUUUGAUGGCUUGAGGAUUCGGCAGGAGGAUUCAAAAAGGGAUGAAGAGAAAAUUGCACAUUCUAAAGAAAACUGAGCAUUUGCAUCCCUGUGUCAGGAUGAAAGGGAGAAGAAAUGGAAAUGCAUACUAAUUCGUCAUUGGCUUUUACUGCUCCUUGAUGGUCCAUAACUCACUCUGACCAUGAUUCCCUUUUCCCCUUCUUACUGCUGGAUUCAAAAUCCACUACGCCAUGUUUUAAUGACGUUAUUGUAGGCAAAUCUACACUGUCCAAUAAAAACUUUACACUUUGAACUGUGA